GAAUAUUGCACAAUGGGGGCAACCCUGAUGCAGCCAUGCCGCGUGUGUGAAGAAGGCCUUCGGGUUGUAAAGCACUUUCGGUGGGGAGGAAAGGUUGGUGGUUAAUACCCAUCAGCUGUGACGUUACCCACAGAAGAAGGACCGGCUAACUCCGUGCCAGCAGCCGCGGUAAUACGGAGGGUCCGAGCGUUAAUCGGAAUUACUGGGCGUAAAGCGCACGCAGGCGGUUUGUUAAGCUAGAUGUGAAAGCCCCGGGCUCAACCUGGGAAUCGCAUUUAGAACUGGCAGGCUAGAGUUUUGGAGAGGGGAGUGGAAUUCCAGGUGUAGCGGUGAAAUGCGUAGAUAUCUGGAGGAACAUCAGUGGCGAAGGCGACUCCCUGGUCAAUAACUGACGCUCAUGUGCGAAAGUGUGGGUAGCGAACAGG
rnacentral:rRNA from 1 species